GAUCCGGACCGCUUGUGAUCUGCUCCCUUCUGGAUAGCCUUAGGAGAACACACGCGCCUGCCCGGUGUGCCUCUCUCGCCAUAGAGCUGCUGUCUGUGGAGAUAAGCGAGGCAUAGUAGGACUUGAUGGAGCAGGCAGGGAACGGGGCUCAGAGCAAGGGCAUCAUCACUGCUCAGCAGUCGCCCCCAAGGCGGGUCGGCCGAAUCCGGAGACAGAGAGGGAGAGAGGACGCUUGGCGAGGGUGACAAUAACGGCGAUGAAAAAUAAUUGCAAUGCCUUCCCCCCGCUCCUUUCCAGCAGUGUUUCUGCUGCCUUUCACUCUCCGCUGCCAGCGUGCAAGGCGCGAGAAGGCGAGGAAAGUUUGCAAGGCGUCCACCAGUUUGUUUAAAUAAAGGGAUAUAAGAGGACCAUUGAUCAGCCAAGGAAAGCAGUUUCAGCUUUUAAAAAAAAAACCACAAGAAGGCAAAUGCAAAAUUAAAACCGCGCAAACCAGGUUAUGCACGAGCAGACAGUAGCAGUAGUUUUGCAGGCAGCUUGGCUCUGGCUUUUCAGCGGAUGCAAAAGGUUAGAAAGGUUUGCAGGAGCAAAGUUUCCGUCGUAGCUUCAGCGCCUUUCCUCCUUUGCUUGGAAAUGCGCUCUGCUUCUCUCAGCAUUCGGCUGCAGAGGGCUCAUUCGCCACGAAGUCGGUGAGGAGAGGAUUUGUUUCCCAAGCCAGCUAACAGAUCAGCGAGUUAAAGCCUCAGUUCAGCCGAUCAGCCUGGAAAGAGAAAACGUGGAGGUCGGCUAAGGAAAAACGCGCGCGCACACACAGCCAAGGGGAGAAAAUAUGCAUGUAUAUGCAUGCGGGACAACUUGCAUCCCUGGGCGACCGUGGGAGAAGGGAAGCAGGGGGAUUCCUAGCUUGCAACAACAUGUGCCACGGAGCUGUGUCAAAAGAUUCUGCCAGAGCAAGGGAGUACCAGAAAUAAGAUGGAAGAGGGUAUUUAUUUAGGCACCCAACAUCACUUUCUAAGAACAACAUCAAUCAUCAUAUAGAAGAUGACCGACUGAAUGUGUAGCUCUGCUGAGAUUGGAACCCUUAAAAAGAAGCAAUGGCGCGGUCACGCAGAUCUUACCGAAGCAGAAGAGUGCGUCGUACUAGAAGAGCAAGACAUCGCAGGAGAGUACCCGCCAGAAGAAUUAGGCGGAGAGGUAAAACAGGCAGACGCCAAUCCCAUUACCGGAGAGCCUCAGCUACCUCCUAGUCUCCUUCACUUCCUGGAGUAGAAGCAGAAGUGCCAUUCCCAUAAACCAACAGACCAUGAGACCAAGAUCAUGGCAGUAGCCAGAAGCACCAAGCACAAGCAGUUGCAACAUGUUGGGCAAUAAACCAUCUGAAAGCCA